rnacentral:rRNA from 1 species
CCUGGCUCAGAACUAACGCUGGCGGCGUGGCUUAGGCAUGCAAGUCGAACGGCAAAGUCCGCAAGGACGAGUAAGUGGCGAAAGGGUGCGUAAUACUCGGGCAAUCUGCCUCUGGGACGAGGAUAGCCGCGGGAAACUGCGGGCAAUACUGGAUAGGCUCACGAGGGCUGCGGCCCUUGGGAGUAAUCGGUGGGGAUCCGCAAGGACCUUCCGCCCAGAGAGGAGCUCGAGGCCUAUCAGGUAGUUGGCGGGGUAACGGCCCACCAAGCCUACGACGGGUACCCGGACUGAGAGGUCGGCCGGGCACACUGGCACUGAGACACUGGCCAGACUCCUACGGGAGGCUGCAGUCGAGAAUCUUCCGCAAUGGGGGCAACCCUGACGGAGCGACGCCGCGUGGAGGAAGAAGGCCUCGGUGUAACGUACCU